GUGGGGAAUCUUGGACAAUGGGGGGAACCCUGAUCCAGCCAUGCCGCGUGGGUGAAGAAGGCCUUCGGGUUGUAAAGCCCUUUAGUUGGGGAGGAAAGGUUGCUGGCUAAUACCUGGCGACUGUGACGUUACCCAAAGAAUAAGCACCGGCUAACUCCGUGCCAGCAGCCGCGGUAAUACGGAGGGUGCAAGCGUUAAUCGGAAUUACUGGGCGUAAAGCGCACGCAGGCGGUCAUUUAAGUCGGACGUGAAAUCCCCGGGCUCAACCUGGGAACUGCGUUCGAUACUGGAUGGCUAGAGUGUGGUAGAGGGGGGUGGAAUUCCAGGUGUAGCGGUGAAAUGCGUAGAUAUCAUCCAGAACACCGAUUGCGAAGGCAGGUGGCUGUACCUUAAUCGACGCUGAUGCACGAAAGCAUGGGGAGCAAACAGGAUUAGAAACCCCAGUAGUCC
rnacentral:rRNA from 1 species